UGUCCGGCGGCUCCAGCCUCAGCUCGGCUCAACGCUCAGAGAAACGAAGCAGCUCAAUAAAAAAAUGUGAUAUUAGUUUUUAUGGGUAUUUACACUUUGGUGAGGGGAGCUGAGUGCGGAAGCUCCAUUAAUCAGCCCCCAACCUCGGGUUUUCAUACUGAGUUUAU
rnacentral:lncRNA from 1 species